rnacentral:rRNA from 1 species
GACGAACGCUGGCGGCGUGCUUAACACAUGCAAGUCGAACGGCAGCACGGACUUCGGUCUGGUGGCGAGUGGCGAACGGGUGAGUAAUAUAUCGGAACGUGCCCAGUCGUGGGGGAUAACGUAGUGAAAAUUACGCUAAUACCGCAUACGAUCUAUGGAUGAAAGCGGGGGACCUUUGGGCCUCGCGCGAUUGGAGCGGCCGAUAUCAGAUUAGGUAGUUGGUGGGGUAAAGGCUCACCAAGCCAACGAUCUGUAGCUGGUCUGAGAGGACGACCAGCCACACUGGGACUGAGACACGGCCCAGACUCCUACGGGAGGCAGCAGUGGGGAAUUUUGGACAAUGGACGCAAGUCUGAUCCAGCCAUUCCGCGUGCAGGACGAAGGCCUUCGGGUUGUAAACUGCUUUUGUACAGAACGAAAAGGUUUCUACUAAUACUAGGAGCUCAUGACGGUACUGUAAGAAUAAGCACCGGCUAACUACGUGCCAGCCGCCGCCGUAA